rnacentral:sRNA from 2 species
UUAAUCUACCGGCUUAAUCCUGAGGGAACUCAGGAACGGAGGAACCAAUUUUUUGGGGUUAAUUCUACAAGUUGUAGAAGGGAUGAGAAGCUCUUUCGCCAUCCUACCCGUCAGCUAACUUCGUCGGCUAAAGCGAGGGAGGUC